rnacentral:rRNA from 1 species
CUACGGAGGGUGCAAGCGUUACUCGGAAUUACUGGGCGUAAAGGACGCGUAGGCGGUUUAGAAAGUCAGAUGUGAAAGCCUAUGGCUUAACCAUAGAACUGCAUCUGAAACUCCUAGACUAGAGUGAGGGAGAGGUCAGUGGAAAUAGUGGUGUAGGGGUAAAAUCCGUAGAGAUCACUAGGAAUACUCAUAGCGAAGGCGACUGACUGGAACUUUACUGACGCUGAGGCGUGAAAGCGUGGGGAGCAAACAGGAUUAGAAACCCGAGUAGUCC